CAAGGUGUUGUGUUGUGUAACCACCAAGGGGAGCUAGUCAUUUCCUGUAAAUUGAUUUUAUGAUGUGUAUGUGUGAUGGAGUUUGAACUUGUAUGCUGCUUGGACUGAAUGUUAGCUUUUAAGUGUAUUGAGUUAUAUGUACUAAGUUGUGGAACUUGUGAAACUGUAAUGUAAUGUUUGUAGAGUGAAUUGUAUGCAAUUAGUUUUUGUAAUUGGACAUAUUGGUAGUGCUUGG
rnacentral:lncRNA from 1 species